rnacentral:rRNA from 1 species
GAUGAACGCUGGCGGCGUGCCUAAAACAUCAAAGUCGGCCGAAAAAACAGGAGCCUUCUUCUUUGACGUUUGGGGGGGGCGGGGGGGUAAAAAGGGGAUAACCCACCUAUAAGACUGGGAUAAAUUCGGGAAAACGGGGCUAAUACCGGAUAAUAAAUUGAACCCCCUGGGUUAAUAGGUAAAGGCGGGUUUUCUUUUAAUUAAAGGUUGAUCCCGCGCCGAUUUGGCUGGUUGGUAAGGUAAGGGUUUACCAAGCCGACGAUGCGUAGCCGACCUGAGAGGGUGAUCGGCCACACUGGAACUGAGCCACGGUCCAGACUCCUACGGGAGGCAGCAGUAGGGAAUCUUCCGCAAUGGGCGAAAGCCUGACGGAGCAACGCCGCGUGAGUGAUGAAGGUCUUCGGAUCGUAAAACUCUGUUAUUAGGGAAGAACAAAUGUGUAAGUAACUAUGCACGUCUUGACGGUACCUAAUCAGAAAGCCACGGCUAACUACGUG